AUUGAACGCUGGCGGCAUGCUUUACACAUGCAAGUCGAACGGUAACAGGCCUUCGGGCGCUGACGAGUGGCGAACGGGUGAGUAAUGCAUCGGAACGUGCCCAGAGGUGGGGGAUAACGCAGCGAAAGCUGUGCUAAUACCGCAUGUGAUCUGAGGAUGAAAGCGGGGGACCAAGCAGCAAUGUUUGGCCUCGCGCCUCUGGAGCGGCCGAUGUCAGAUUAGGUAGUUGGUGGGGUAAAGGCCUACCAAGCCGACGAUCUGUAGCUGGUCUGAGAGGACGACCAGCCACACUGGGACUGAGACACGGCCCAGACUCCUACGGGAGGCAGCAGUGGGGAAUUUUGGACAAUGGGCGCAAGCCUGAUCCAGCAAUGCCGCGUGCGGGAAGAAGGCCUUCGGGUUGUAAACCGCUUUUGUACGGAACGAAAAGGCUCUGGCUAAUACCUGGGGCUGAUGACGGUACCGGAAGAAUAAGCACCGGCUAACUACGUG
rnacentral:rRNA from 1 species